rnacentral:tmRNA from 1 species
GGGGGCGUAAAGGUUUCGACAGGGAGUAUGAGCUUCGGCAAGCGAGCAGCGGCACUGCAGAACCGCUAUAAAAUCCGCAGAUUUCAAAACAAACGACAACAAUAAACCUGUUGCCCUUGCUGCUUAAUUAGCGCAAGCGUUCCUGCUUGAAGUACCACGGUCUUGCAGGGGCGUCGAUUAGUGGUGAACGUGAACAGGGGAAUGUCUCUUCUCCUGUCAUGACGCAGAGACUACCGAUGCACGGGGUUCGUUAUCGGACGCUGUGAGGGGGGAAUCCAUAAACGAUAACUGCGCUCGGAGAAAACCGUUGUAAGUGCUUUUUGGACAGGGGUUCGACUCCCCUCGCCUCCACCA